UGAAUAGCUCCAAGGUAGAACAUCUGCUUUGUAUGCAUAAGGUCCCAGGUUCAGUUCCUGGCAUCUUAG